GAGGGUAGAGCUCAGUGCUAGAGCAUGUGCUUAGCACACACAGGGUCCUGGGUUCAAUCCCUGGUGCCGCCA
rnacentral:tRNA from 1 species